UUAUCACAGGCAGACAAGGCCAGGCUAUCAGCCAUUUAAAAAUAUUCUAAAAACUAGUAUUGUGUUAUGAAUAGGCCUGAAAAGAGAAUAUGUAAAAGGAUUAUAAACUGAACACGAUAUGGGCGAUGGGCAAAUUAAUUCUGUUGACCUGAGAUGGGAGUGGGUCCGACUGCAAUCAUUUUCUAAUGUUGAAGGCAACGAGUCAGUGAGCUUUCUACUUUUGGCAAAAGAUGGAUUUUAUCAUACUGGUCAUACCAAUCUUGUGAAGUGUUACUUUUGUGGAUUUGAAUGGUCUGAUUGGUCUAAUGGAAGUAUACCUGAUCACUGUGUUGAAAGAAAUCAGAAUAUUCCCGUACAUUCUCAUAGAGAAAAUAGUUUACUAGUGCCAAGUGGACAGUCUUUAUUACCGCAUUCAGCUACAGAUUUUAACCACAUUAUACGACAUCAAAGAUUUCGAGAAGGAACCCGUGUUACAGACUACUAUAGACCAAAUUAUGCUGAACAAUUGAAUUCAGGUAGGAAUGGACAAAAUGAGGAACCAUGCUCAUGUAAACGCUACAGUGAAAAAAUUGAAAGGAAUAGAAAUCAACCAACAGGGGGUCAAAAUGAAGAACAAAGUAAAUGUAUUAAAGAUACUGCAGUAGAUCUAGAGAUAGAAGGUUCCGCUGAAUCAACACCUGCAGAAUGCACCAAAGAUUCAAAUGAAACAUGGAAUUCAACAGAAUCAAAUGACAGAAACGAAAAUGGAAGAUCAAAACCUUGUAUAACUCGAACAUCAACAACACCAAUUGGACCCCAUUGCACAACCCGAAACAGACGCACAUCUGUAAACCACACGGUUGUGUCACCCAAUAGUUGUUCAGAAAAGUCACAAGUGAGCACUGAACCAUGUCGAAAUUCUGAAAAUGUCACCCUGCACCAAGGAGCAAGUCCUCCAUUGCCCCAGCUCGGCAAGAGAGUGAAUAAAUGUCCAGGAGUCCCGCAGGUAUAUAGGGACCGGCUUGCAACAUUCCAGGGAGUGUCCCUUCCUCAACCUUCAGACUUCCUAGCAGCAAAUGGAUUUUAUUAUAUAGGGAGCUCUGUAGCAGUUAAAUGCGCGUAUUGUGGAGAGAUGUGGCAUAUUAUUGGUAGCAGACAGACCUCAGAUACUGUUCACAGGCCAGACUGCAAGUUCCACUCGACUCAAGAGGUAUCCAACAGUUGUGAAACAUCAUCUCAGCCCAACAGUAUGUCCGACAAUGAUGUAUCAAGUCUCCCCGCUGUACAGCAAGUCAAGCAGAUCGGUUUCCACACACCAGACAUCGUCAAUGCCUACCGGGAAAUAUCAUCAGACAACAUAAGUUAGUAGUAUGUUGUACUUUCAAUUUGACAAAUCUUAAAUACACCCGUGUGUUUUGCUUUUGUAAUUUCAGAUUUUCGAUGGAUUACCCGAAGAGACAUCCUGGGAUACCUUUUUGAAGACGACAAUGAUGAUGAAACAUCUGAUGAAGAUGGGAGCGGCUGUACAUGCUGUAUGUGCUUACGGGAAGUGAUUUCCGAGAUGUAUUUCCCCUGUCGUCAUGGCUGUUGCUGUGGCUGUAAGUCACGUGUCCUUCGUCACUGCCCAAAAUGUGACGCCAUCAUCAAGUCAAAAUUUGCCAUCUAUACAUAAGAGGCUGUGAACAAUACCAGUGUGAACUGUUACUUUCAGACAAUGAAUAUUUUGUCUUACUAACCUUAUGUUUUGGUUUAAUGGUUAGUCGGAGAAGAAACCAAUGUGUGAUAUAGAACUUUUGCAUCUAACAAUGAGAACAAUAAUUCAUACCAAUUUUUUAUUCAUAUUUUUAUAUCUUUGAGAAACAAUUUGGAUGAGAAUAUUGAGUGUUGUUUAUAGAUUUUGGAAAAUGAUUUAUUACCAUUACAAUAGACUGUAGACAAACGAAUUAUCAAAUAUUACUGUUUAAAUAGACUGUAGAAAAAUUAUAUGUUUGAAAAAAUAUUUUAAUUAUUUAUAGACGAACGAUAUGUAUCAUAUAAGACUUUAAAAUUAAUGUUUGCUUUUUGAUGUAAAUUAACAAAUGCAUUUUCACAAUAUUUUCGAUUUAUAUUUAGCGUGAUUUUCACCAAACACUUUUAAUUACCUCAUUGUUUGUUGGCAUUUUUCUUAGUUUAGAAGCAUUAAACUGUGUAAAAGAU
rnacentral:misc_RNA from 1 species